rnacentral:rRNA from 1 species
AGAGUUUGAUCAUGGCUCAGAUUGAACGCUGGCGGCAGGCCUAACACAUGCAAGUCGAACGGUAACAGGAAGCAGCUUGCUGCUUCGCUGACGAGUGGCGGACGGGUGAGUAAUGUCUGGGAAGCUGCCUGAUGGAGGGGGAUAACUACUGGAAACGGUAGCUAAUACCGCAUAAUGUCGCAAGACCAAAGAGGGGGACCUUCGGGCCUCUUGCCAUCGGAUGUGCCCAGAUGGGAUUAGCUUGUUGGUGGGGUAACGGCUCACCAAGGCGACGAUCCCUAGCUGGUCUGAGAGGAUGACCAGCCACACUGGAACUGAGACACGGUCCAGACUCCUACGGGAGGCAGCAGUGGGGAAUAUUGCACAAUGGGCGCAAGCCUGAUGCAGCCAUGCCGCGUGUAUGAAGAAGGCCUUCGGGUUGUAGAGUACUUUCAGCGGGGAGGAAGGGAGUAAAGUUAAUACCUUUGCUCAUUGACGUUACCCGCAGAAGAAGCACCGGCUAACUCCGUGCCAGCAGCCGCGGUAAUACGGAGGGUGCAAGCGUUAAUCGGAAUUACAGGGCGUAAAGCGCACGCAGGCGGUUUGUUAAGUCGGAUGUGAAAUCCCCGGGCUCAACCUGGGAACUGCAUCUGAUACUGGCAAGCUUGAGUCUCGUAGAGGGGGGUAGAAUUCCAGGUGUAGCGGUGAAAUGCGUAGAGAUCUGGAGGAAUACCGGUGGCGAAGGCGGCCCCCUGGACGAAGACUGACGCUCAGGUGCGAAAGCGUGGGGAGCAAACAGGAUUAGAUACCCUGGUAGUCCACGCCGUAAACGAUGUCGACUUGGAGGUUGUGCCCUUGAGGCGUGGCUUCCGGAGCUAACGCGUUAAGUCGACCGCCUGGGGAGUACGGCCGCAAGGUUAAAACUCAAAUGAAUUGACGGGGGCCCGCACAAGCGGUGGAGCAUGUGGUUUAAUUCGAUGCAACGCGAAGAACCUUACCUGGUCUUGACAUCCACGGAAGUUUUCAGAGAUGAGAAUGUGCCUUCGGGAACCGUGAGACAGGUGCUGCAUGGCUGUCGUCAGCUCGUGUUGUGAAAUGUUGGGUUAAGUCCCGCAACGAGCGCAACCCUUAUCCUUUGUUGCCAGCGGUCCGGCCGGGAACUCAAAGGAGACUGCCAGUGAUAAACUGGAGGAAGGUGGGGAUGACGUCAAGUCAUCAUGGCCCCUUACGACCAGGGCUACACACGUGCUACAAUGGCGCAUACAAAGAGAAGCGACCUCGCGAGAGCAAGCGGACCUCAUAAAGUGCGUCGUAGUCCGGAUUGGAGUCUGCAACUCGACUCCAUGAAGUCGGAAUCGCUAGUAAUCGUGGAUCAGAAUGCCACGGUGAAUACGUUCCCGGGCCUUGUACACACCGCCCGUCACACCAUGGGAGUGGGUUGCAAAAGAAGUAGGUAGCUUAACCUUCGGGAGGGCGCUUACCACUUUGUGAUUCAUGACUGGGGUGAAGUG